GGGUCACAAAGAGAUAAGCACAAGACCAAUACGACCCGUGAACAAUAUUAUUAAUGCCUAUAAAACCAAAAACCAAUCCACCAAGAAAUUAGAAGCUUGUCAAAACAUAGAAAAAACUCAGAAAUUAAAUUUCAAUUUUUCAAUGGUCACCUAUGCUUCGGGUGAGAGAAACACGUAUCAGAAUUCAUCUUGUUUUAGACACCAUAAUUUUCUAUGUAAGGAAGAAAAAAUGGUUGUUCUUUAUUUUUGAUCCUAUGAUACAUGUCGCUCUCACCUGAAGCAUAGCUGCCCAAUGCUUUCAUAACAUCAUGAGAGAAUUAAGAAAGAAGCUGCCAUCAAAUUGUUGUAUCCGAAAAUACCUCAUGAUUUUAUCAUCUAUAAAGUUGAGAUCCAAUAGUUGAGGCCUCGCCUAGGCUACGAUUGGAUGACGCCACACAUUUUCUAGCGGGGAUGGAAACCUUGUUGAGCAUGGACUUGAGGUGGGGGAAUUUCCAUGGCGGCUCUAAGUUCAGAUCACCAUUGUUUCUCCAUUGAAUCUCUUGAACUAAUGGAGGGUUACAUUGGUGAAAUGGAUUUGUUAUAUGUGGUUGUUCACCGGCAUAACUUACCGGAGUUGGUACAAGUACACCAAGUCGUAGAAGGCUUGUCACAGGAUUUAUCGAUGCAAGUGGGUAACUUGUCCAUGGCUGAUGCAUCGAGUAAUCCAUAAAUGGUUAUUGAAUUCUUACUACUGGGAUGCAUGUGUGUCCUCCAACACAAGAUAUGUUGUUUUCCUGCAUAGUACUGCCAUAAGGCAGAAUUUGCGGUAUGCCAUUGUGUGCUACAACUCCAGUUGUCCUUCUCACCAUAUAUAAUUGUCCAUCUUGAAACUUAGCCUGAUUGUAUGCAUCAUUCGCCGUUGUGUGCACCAUAGGGUAAGCGAUAGCGAAAAUUCUAGGCUGGGAAUAAGGAGUAGAAGUUACUUGUUGUAUAUGAAUAAGCUAAACUUGUUGAGGUCAUGGGGAUGUAAUAAUCGACUAUAUUUGAUUAAUAAUGUGUGCCUGAUUCUGGUUUCCAUGUACUUGUAUAGUGGUGAUGACUUGAUUUUCACCGAAAUUGGCUCUAACAAUCUCCAAAUACAUGGCUAGAUGAAACCUAUUAUGGACCUUGGGUUUCACAAUGACAUCAAGUUGUUUGGAGACUUGAUACACGAUGUCAUGCAUCCCCGUAUCAAUUUUGUUUUCUAAUGAAAUAUGUUUUCAUUACUACUAGAGUCUUACGUAUUUCAAUCAAUUGUAUCGUAGAACGCUGGAAGGAGCCAUGAGAGUUGGCAUUACCAACGUUUGUGAUGACUCACCCGGUUGAGAUUUUCCUAACUACUGAGAAUUUAUAGUAGAACUAUUGCCUACUUGCCAAACGGCGUGGCCUACAAUGCUAAACCUAUGUUCGGCUAAUUUUAUGGGUUGUGCGUGAUAACUCCCUUGCUAAUGGGAUUGUGGAACCCCACAUUCGACUUCAGUCUUGUCCUUCACAACAUGGUCCAUUGACAAAGUCCUUAGUGCGCAACUCCAUGGAGAUCGUGUCUCUUCCAUUAUUCCUCAAAGUGGUUAAUGGUGUUAUAAAUAAGGAACGUGAGUUUCUCGUGUCAUUAUCCAGUCCCGCUAUAACGUGCCCAACUUUUCACGCUCGACUGCUUUAACGUGCCCAACUUUUGAUCAAGAGGCUUCCUUACCUAAUAAUCUAAUUGCCUAUCUGUCGAGGUUGGCCAACAUGAUGAUUAUUUUUAGCUGCAAACAGGAUCAUAUCUAUGUUAGAUUGAAAAAUAAAGGCAUUAUAACCCUUGCUCAGGUUGAAGGAUUCAAAAGAAAUGAUACGAGGUUCCAACCAAUAGAUAUCUUUUAAUUUUUUUUUUACCAAAGCAAAGUUAACUAUUAUUAUUAAUCAAUCAAUGUUCAAUACAAGAAGGAUAUAGCUAAAGUAUGAGCAACCAUGUUCGCUUGUCUUCUAACAAACUUUAUCUCGAAGUUGGAAAACAAAUCAAGAUCUACAUCGGGGCUAAAGACGAGUCAGUCGGUUUCUUAUUAGCUUAUGAUGCCUGGAUGGAACUAAAAUAGCAGCAUAUUACCUUAGCUGGAUCUUGAAAGAUGUGGGAACCAAAUAUACACAUAUUGAUAAAUUAUGUUUAUCUUUCUUGUAUGCUUGUAAUAAUAUUUCAUACCUAGAGAACUUUUGGUCUUGUGUAAGAUUAACAUUGUUAGGUAUUUACUAAAUAAACCUAUCUUAGGAGAA